rnacentral:rRNA from 1 species
GACAGAGGUGCCGAGCGUUAGGCGGAAUCACUGGGCUUAAAGCGUGUGUAGGCGGGGCCGUUAAGUGUCUUGUGAAAUCCCCCCCGGCUCAACCGGGGGAAUUGCUGGGGCAUACUGGCGGUCUUGAGCAGUUUCAGGGGGCAGAUGGAAACAAGUGGUGGGAGCGGUGAAAAUGCGUAGAUAUCACUUGGAACGCCAACGGUGAAAAAACAGUCUGCUGGGGAACUUGCUGACGCUGAGACACGAAAAGCCAGGGGGAGCGAACGGGG